AUGACAACACCUCACCGCCGCGGCACUCUUCGUCGUCUUCGGCCGACGAUGUGGGUGACGGAGCCACUGCUGCUUCCGCCUCCCCUAGUCAACGUGAACUCACCGGAGGUGUAUCGGGAGAUGGAGCGGGUGGUGCAGGAGAGGUUCCCGAAUCACUCAGAGUGGUUACAUCUCUUCAAUGUCAUCAUCCAACACGCCACGUUCGAGGAGUAUGUGAGGUUCACCGGCGACGACGACACAUCGGAUGUGGAGGUCCUAUUCUGGGUCAUUCAGGAGGCGAGCUUUCCAGAUCCAGCGCAGGCAGCAAGGUGGAGCAACUUCCGCAUGCUCAAUCGGCCUCAGCUCAACAUCGCAAGGACGCGGGUGGAUGCUCUGUCCAGAAUCCCGUCGGACGCGCUACCGCCGGGGGUUCGCCCUCCCUGCGUGCAAUAG
rnacentral:rRNA from 1 species